rnacentral:lncRNA from 1 species
GAUUCGCUUCAAGCUCAGCUUAUCAAUAUGGGUGUUAUUCCUACCUUAGUGAAAUUACUGGGCAUCCACUGCCAAAAUGCAGCUCUUACAGAAAUGUGUCUUGUUGCAUUUGGUAAUUUAGCAGAACUUGGGUGUACAGGAAGUGUGGUGCCUGCAUCUGCUUCUGGUGAGGGACUCAGGAAGCUUACAAUCAUGGCAGAAGGUGAAGAGGGAGCAGGCGUGUCACAUGGUGAGACAGGGAGCGAGAGAGAGAGACAAAGGGGAAGUCACAGACUCUUAACCAGAUCUCAUAUGAACUAACUCACUUAUCACCAAGGGGAUGGUACUAACCAUUCAUGAGGGACCUGCCCCCAUUAUCUAAUUACCUCCUGCCUGGCCUCACCUCCAAUAUUGGAAAUUACGUUUCAACAUGAGAUUUGGAAGGGACAAACAGCCAAACCACAUCAGGGAGUUUUCAUUGGACAAAUAAGGAAAAAUAAUAUGAGGACAAAAGCAGAGCACAGUAUACUGAGGGAGCCCUGGCCUGGUAGGAGAGAAAAGAGGUAAGUAAAGAGUUGCAAAGACAACCUUGUCUACCUUGCUGAUUUCUCUGGUAUACAGGGAAAAUAAGCCAUUGAAAACAGUUUGAUACAAGUUGCUGUGCUAAGAUAGCAGAUUUGUUUGAGAGGCUGCGUAGACCACCUCUAUUCAGCCUAGUCUCCCCCAGUCUAUGUUAAAAGAUAAAUAUGCAGCUAAUUUAGUUCAGCCCAGGUUCAUACUAUAAUUUCAGUGGUUACUGCCCUACCCCAUUUGGAGGAAGAAAGGAUAAGAGAAAAAUAUGUGUAUCUAAGACUUCUCGAGUUUAUAUAAUG